rnacentral:misc_RNA from 1 species
UCGGGAGGAAGAAAUGAUAAAGGAGACGAAGGCAAGGACUGGGGAGGGGGUGGUUGGUUUUUUGGUUGUUGAUUGAAAUGACAGGGAACGAGAUUCUCAUGGUUACAUGGAGGGAAAAUGGAGAAANNNNNNGAUUCUCAUGGGAGGACUCUCUAAUAACAACCAUAGACCAUUGUUUUGAAUAGGUUUUGAGGGUUGGCGGGGAAUCUAGAUUAAAGAGUCGGAGGUCAUU